rnacentral:misc_RNA from 1 species
GCAGUUUGUUUUACAUUUUUGGUCUGAAAAACAAGUAGAACAACUCCAAAGUCAAAAGUGAGUUCAAAAUGCAAGUCUUUUAGGAUUCUACAAUUGCACUGACCUAAUGCUAAAAAAAUGCAGGAUUUCCACAAAGUUCAAAUAUCCUUAACUUGAAAUAAGAUGAUCAUGGAAGUCUAAUGGAUUUUAAAACGAAACAAUACUUAUGAUCUAAAUGCAUCAUGGAAACACAUAAUUCAAUGGAAGCAAAAACAGAAAUUAAGUUGCUAAAAUCAAAUAAAGCACACAGAUUUUGAAAAUGAAUCGAUUAAUAAAUAAGCUCAUCCUUCUGCAUAUCAUAUAAGCAAGUGAAACAUCAUCAAAAGCUAAACAUGUAAAACAAAUUUAGAUCUGGAAAAACUGUGGCAAAGAUCGGAAUUCUCAAAGAAAACGCAAUUGAAAUUCCAUUUUCCCAUUUGCCUCAUUAUUUUAGGAAUUAAAAACGAGCAAAAACAUCAACACUUACAAUCCAAAUUUCCAUAUAAAAAUAUAUAAAAACAGAAGGCCAAUAGAGCUAAUGUGAUUGAAAAUUCAAG